CCUACGGGGGACUGUAGUGAGGAAUAUUGGUCAAUGGGCGCGAGCCUGAACCAGCCAAGUAGCGUGAAGGAUGACUGCCCUACGGGUUGUAAACUUCUUUUAUAAAGGAAUAAAGUGAGGCACGUGUGCCUUUUUGUAUGUACUUUAUGACUAAGGAUCGGCUAACUCCGUGCCAGCAGCCGCGGUAAUACGGAGGAUCCGAGCGUUAUCCGGAUUUAUUGGGUUUAAAGGGAGCGUAGAUGGGUUGUUAAGUCAGUUGUGAAAGUUUGCGGCUCAACCGUACAAUUGCAAUUGAUACUGGCAGCCUUGAGUACAGUUGAGGUAGGCGGAAUUCGUGGUGUAGCGGUGAAAUGCUGAGAUAUCACGAAGAACUCCGAUUGCGAAGGCAGCUUACUAAACUGCCACUGACAUUGAUGCUCGAAAGUGUGGGGAUCAAACAGGAGUAGAUACCCUAGUAGUC
rnacentral:rRNA from 1 species